AGUGAACGCUGGCGGUAGGCCUAACACAUGCAAGUCGAACGGCAGCACAGUAAGAGCUUGCUCUUACGGGUGGCGAGUGGCGGACGGGUGAGGAAUACAUCGGAAUCUACUUUUUCGUGGGGGAUAACGUAGGGAAACUUACGCUAAUACCGCAUACGACCUACGGGUGAAAGCAGGGGAUCUUCGGACCUUGCGCGAUUGAAUGAGCCGAUGUCGGAUUAGCUAGUUGGCGGGGUAAAGGCCCACCAAGGCGACGAUCCGUAGCUGGUCUGAGAGGAUGAUCAGCCACACUGGAACUGAGACACGGUCCAGACUCCUACGGGAGGCAGCAGUGGGGAAUAUUGGACAAUGGGCGCAAGCCUGAUCCAGCCAUACCGCGUGGGUGAAGAAGGCCUUCGGGUUGUAAAGCCCUUUUGUUGGGAAAGAAAAGCAGCAGGUUAAUACCCCGCUCUUCUGACGGUACCCAAAGAUUAAGCACCGGCUAACUUCGUG
rnacentral:rRNA from 1 species